UCUUCAUUUGAAAGAAGAUAAGAAGAUUGGCUAUAGAGAAGGGAAGGAAAAAGUCUUGAAGCUUUGAUCUCCAUCCUCUUCAAGCUUAGGUCUCAAGUAAUUUUUGGAGUAUUCAAGGGUUUUGACAAGGAGUAUUUGGGUGAGCUAAAUAGCUAAGAUUUGGAUGUUUUAGAGUAGAUAAGGAGUACAGUUGUGAUUAACACGAGCACAAGUGGUGGGGUCUUGAAGGUGGCUUUUGAAACUUGGAUGCUUAGUCCUAGUAUUGGAGCUUAUCAUAGAUUUUUGCUUGUGUUGGAUAAUACCUUUGACCCUUUGUAUUCUUGAUAACCUAUUAUGCAUGGUUUUUGGUGCUUGUGAUGUAUUUUAGACAUACUACUCUUGAUUGUGAAUAUUUAAUAGUGGUGAAUUGAUAAGUUCUUGGGAAGAA